GAGAAGCAGUUCAGGGGUUCUGUGCCCAAGGCCAGCAGGAAGACAUCUGAGAAACAGUUGGAAGGACCAUGACAAUAGCCACCGGCUAGGCGUGUUGAAGGUUGGAAGAUUUCAUGUGCUCACAGUGCUCGGCACAGUCCCUGGCACGGAAGCGUCAUGUAGACAUUGAUCCAGCGAGACUCUCCCCUCUGCUCCUACUCAGGAAAUCUCCUAUUAAGUCUAACAUGCAUGUGCCUCACUUCCACUCCUCUUCCUGUAUAAUCCAUGUUCUACAGUGCAA